CACGUUUGUGUCGAAAACGAAAAAAAAAUUGACAAUUGAUUUUUUUUCUUUCUCUUCCUCUCCCUCUCCCUCUCUCUCUCUCGAUCGAACUUGCAAAUUGAAUCAAAGGAGAUGGAAUCAAAAGAGAUGGAACAAGGGAUCCAAUGCUAACAUCGGUGGCUAACAGCACUCUCUGUUUUCCGAUUGCGUCGUUUCCAUCAUCCACGUUCCAUUCUCAUCGACCUCAUCGAUUCUCGAAACAAAUUUCAAGAAACGGGACAUGGGUCUGCAAAAGGGGAAGACUUUAUGUGAAAUCAGAGGCGAAAACGAAUGAAGCAUCACAAAAAUCUACUACGGUAUCUUGUGAAACGAAUGAAGCAUCACAAAUUUCAGUAUGAUAAGUAUUACCAAACUCCUCGUGUUUGGCUGACCGGUUAUGAUGAGGUUUGCAUCUCGUUCAUACUUACUUCUAAAGUUCUGGAUUUUUGUUGCUUGUUUAUGUUUGGAGGAAUUGUUACAGGCAAGUAUGAGUAAAUCUUGGAAAUGUUGCUACCAGCUAGUUCAAUUCAUUACUUUAGCUAGGAAAUGGUGUUAAUGUUGCAAAGUUUUUGUGUGUGUGUUUUCAGAUUUGUGUCCGUUGCGUAGUAUGUACCAACCACUGCAAUCUAGUUGCAAAGUUUUUGUGUGUGUGUUUCCAUGUCUUUUCCUUACAUCUGGUUCCAUUUUGUAAUAAUUUGGAUGAGUGAUGGUUUG